rnacentral:rRNA from 1 species
UACGUAGGGUCCGAGCGUUGUCCGGAAUUACUGGGCGUAAAGGGCGCGUAGGCGGCCCGCUAAGUCGAACGUGAAAUCCCCGAGCUCAACUCGGGAACUGCGUCCGAUACUGGCGGGCUUGAAUCCGGGAGAGGGAUGCGGAAUUCCAGGUGUAGCGGUGAAAUGCGUAGAUAUCUGGAGGAACACCGGUGGCGAAGGCGGCAUCCUGGACCGGCAUUGACGCUGAGGCGCGAAAGCUAGGGGAGCAAACGGGG